rnacentral:rRNA from 1 species
GACGAACGCUGGCGGCGUGCUUAACACAUGCAAGUCGAGCGGUAAGGCCCUUUCGGGGUACACGAGCGGCGAACGGGUGAGUAACACGUGGGUGACCUGCCCUUAGCUCUGGGAUAAGCCUGGGAAACUGGGUCUAAUACCGGAUAUGACUCCAUGACGCAUGUUGUGGGUGGAAAGCCUUGUGCGGCUAGGGAUGGGCCCGCGGCCUAUCAGCUUGUUGGUGGGGUGAUGGCCUACCAAGGCGACGACGGGUAGCCGGCCUGAGAGGCGACCGGCCACACUGGGACUGAGACACGGCCCAGACUCCUACGGGAGGCAGCAGUGGGAAUCUUGCGCAAUGGCGAAAGCCUGACGCAGCGACGUCGCGUGAGGGAUGACGGCCUCGGUGUAA